rnacentral:rRNA from 1 species
CAGAACAGGUGUGCCAGCCGCCGCGGUAAUACGGAAGGUCCGGGCGUUAUCCGGAUUUAUUGGGUUUAAAGGGAGCGUAGGCCGGAGAUUAAGCGUGUUGUGAAAUGUAGAUGCUCAACAUCUGAACUGCAGCGCGAACUGGUUUCCUUGAGUACGCAUAAAGUGGGCGGAAUUCGUGGUGUAGCGGUGAAAUGCUUAGAUAUCACGAAGAACUCCGAUUGCGAAGGCAGCUCACUGGGGCGCAACUGACGCUGAAGCUCGAAAGCGCGGGUAUCGAACAGG